GUAGGUGGCAAGCGUUGUCCGGAAUUAUUGGGCGUAAAGCGCGCGCAGGCGGUUCUUUAAGUCUGAUGUGAAAGCCCACGGCUCAACCGUGGAGGGUCAUUGGAAACUGGAGAACUUGAGUACAGAAGAGGAAAGCGGAAUUCCACGCGUAGCGGUGAAAUGCGUAGAGAUGUGGAGGAACACCAGUGGCGAAGGCGGCUUUCUGGUCUGUAACUGACGCUGAGGCGCGAAAGCGUGGGGAGCAAACAGGAUUAGAUACCCUGGUAGUCCACGCCGUAAACGAUGAGUGCUAAGUGUUAGGGGGGUUUCCGCCCCCCUUAGUGCUGCAGCUAACGCAUUAAGCACUCCGCCUGGGAGUACGGCCGCAAGGCUG
rnacentral:rRNA from 1 species